rnacentral:rRNA from 1 species
GAGUUUGAUCCUGGCUCAGGACGAACGCUGGCGGCGGGCUUAACACAUGCAAGUCGAAGGAGAAGGUAAGUGCUUGCACUUACUGGAGACUGGCGGACGGGUGAGUAACGCGUAGAUAACCUGCCUAUAUCUGGGGGAUAACAUCUCGAAAGGGGUGCUAAUACCGCAUAAUGCAGCGGGGCCGCAUGGCCACAGUUGUUAAAAGUUUCGGCUGGAUAUAGAGGGGUCUGCGUACUAUUAGUUAGUUGGUAAGGUAACGGCUUACCAAGGCGAUGAUAGUUAGGGGGUCUGAGAGGAUGAUCCCCCACACUGGGACUGAGACACGGCCCAGACUCCUACGGGAGGCAGCAGUGAGGAAUCUUGCGCAAUGGGCGAAAGCCUGACGCAGCCACGCCGCGUGCCGGAAGACGGCCCUAUGGGUUGUAAACGGCUUUUAAAAGGGAAGAACGCCCGGGUUUCGACCUGGGGUGACGGUACCUUUUGAAUAAGCACCGGCUAACUCCGUGCCAGCAGCCGCGGUAAUACG